UUUUUUUGUGAGUAAAGUACAUUUUACGAGUAUUUAUAAAUAACACUGCUUUUUAUCCUCGUGUAUAAUUCUCCAGUCUCAGUCUUCUGCUUUUAUUUUAGCUGAAAGGGAACAACCUGGUGUUUUUGUGUGGAAUUGUGCGUCUUAAAAAAGUUAUUAUCUUUGUGUCUUUUGGCCAAGGUGCUAAUCAUGUCAAUAAUCAAAAGUGAAGUAAUACUGGAACCCCCCCCCUCCCUUAUCCUCUAUUUAAACGUGUCAUUUUAUCUUCCAUUGUCUCAUGUUCCUGCUGUGUGGUGGGCGAUGCUUCCUCUUUAAUGUGAAAACAGUGAGUGGGCUGCGGGAGAGCUGUGGAUAGGAGAGCGCAGAGGGAUGGGGCGAGGCGCGCAAGAAGCUUUUAGUAUGCGCUGCAAUGCCCAACUGCAGCUCACGCUUCUCGUGGUAAAUUAUGGUGAUCUAUGAGAGGAACAGCCGGCAGCUCAAAAACAGUCAGUCGUGAUGAGAUGACACAGCCGCAUCAGCUGCACUGAUUAGUCAAAUUAGGGGAGCAGGGCUCAUAAGACGGAAUAGGCGAAGGACUUGAAGGCAACUUAAAAGAAGAAAAAAAACUGGAUAAAACACACACGUCUGCGCAACAAGAGAACCGCGCUGUAGGCGAUUCAUGACAGACAACCAAGCUUUUGCUGGAGGGGUAUGGGACUUUGGACCGGACACUUCAGCUGAAAACACUCCUACAUUUUGCUGUUUGCUGACAGAUCAGCUUACAGCUCACAGAUCAGCUUACUGCUGAAAGCGUGGAGCCUACAGUUCUUCUUGGCCAAGCGUGGCUCCACCCAGUCUGAAAGCUGC
rnacentral:lncRNA from 1 species